GACGAACGCUGGCGGCGUGCUUAACACAUGCAAGUCGAACGAAGAGCGACGGAAGCUUGCUUCUAUCAAUCUUAGUGGCGAACGGGUGAGUAACGCGUAAUCAACCUGCCCUUCAGAGGGGGACAACAGUUGGAAACGACUGCUAAUACCGCAUACGAUCUAAUCUCGGCAUCGAGGCUGGAUGAAAGGUGGCCUCUACAUUUAAGCUAUCACUGAAGGAGGGGAUUGCGUUUGAUUAGCUAGUUGGAGGGGUAACGGCCCACCAAGGCGAUGAUCAGUAGCCGGUCUGAGAGGAGGAACGGCAACAUUGGGACGGGGACACGGCCCAGAACCCUACGGGAGGGAGCAGGGGGGGAUCUUCCGGAAUGGACGAAAGUCGGACGGAGGAACGCCGCGUGAGUGAUGACGGCCUUCGGGUUGUAAAGGUCGGUUAAUCGGGACGAAAGGCCUUCUUGCGAAUAGUGAGAAGGAUUGACGGUACCGGAAUAGAAAGCCACGGCUAACUACGUG
rnacentral:rRNA from 1 species